rnacentral:rRNA from 1 species
UGUGAACGUUACCAAACUGUUGCCUCGGCGGGAUCUCUGCCCCGGGUGCGUCGCAGCCCCGGACCAAGGCGCCCGCCGGAGGACCAACCAAAACUCUUUUGUAUACCCCCUCGCGGGUUUUUUAUAUCUGAGCCAUCUCGGCGCCUCUCGUAGGCGUUUCGAAAAUGAAUCAAAACUUUCAACAACGGAUCUCUUGGUUCUGGCAUCGAUGAAGAACGCAGCGAAAUGCGAUAAGUAAUGUGAAUUGCAGAAUUCAGUGAAUCAUCGAAUCUUUGAACGCACAUUGCGCCCGCCAGUAUUCUGGCGGGCAUGCCUGUCCGAGCGUCAUUUCAACCCUCGAACCCCUCCGGGGGGUCGGCGUUGGGGAUCGGCCCUUUACGGGGCCGGCCCCGAAAUACAGUGGCGGUCUCGCCGCAGCCUCUCCUGCGCAGUAGUUUGCACACUCGCAUCGGGAGCGCGGCGCGUCCAUUGCCGUAAAACACCCAACUUUCUGAAAUGUUGACCUCGGAUCAGGUAGGAAUACCCGCUGAACUUAAGCAUAUCAAUAA